rnacentral:tRNA from 1 species
GUUUAAGUAGUUUAAUUAAGAAUAAUAAUUUGUGGAAUUAUAGGUGUAAUAUGUUUUGCUUUAAGCC